UGGGGAAUUUUGGACAAUGGGGGAAACCCUGAUCCAGCCAUCCCGCGUGUGCGAUGAAGGCCUUCGGGUUGUAAAGCACUUUUGGCAGGAAAGAAACGUCGCGGGUUAAUACCCCGCGGAACUGACGGUACCUGCAGAAUAAGCACCGGCUAACUACGUGCCAGCAGCCGCGGUAAUACGUAGGGUGCAAGCGUUAAUCGGAAUUACUGGGCGUAAAGCGUGCGCAGGCGGUUCGGAAAGAAAGAUGUGAAAUCCCAGAGCUUAACUUUGGAACUGCAUUUUUAACUACCGGGCUAGAGUGUGUCAGAGGGAGGUGGAACUCCGCGUGUAGCAGUGAAAUGCGUAGAUAUGCGGAGGAACACCGAUGGCGAAGGCAGCCUCCUGGGAUAACACUGACGCUCAUGCACGAAAGCGUGGGGAGCAAACAGGAUUAGAUACCCUGGUAGUCCACGCCCUAAACGAUGUCAACUAGCUGUUGGGGUCUUCGGACCUUGGUAGCGCAGCUAACGCGUGAAGUUGACCGCCUGGGGAGUACGGUCGCAAGAUUAAAACUCAAAGGAAUUGAC
rnacentral:rRNA from 1 species